GUGGGGAAUAUUGGGCAAUGGGGGCAACCCUGACCCAGCAACGCCGCGUGAGGGAAGAAGGUUUUCGGAUUGUAAACCUCUGUCCUAUGGGAAGAAGGAAGUGACGGUACCAUAGGAGGAAGCCCCGGCUAACUACGUGCCAGCAGCCGCGGUAAUACGUAGGGGGCGAGCGUUGUCCGGAAUUACUGGGCGUAAAGGGUGCGCAGGUGGCCUGACAAGUCAGAUGUGAAAUACCGAUGCUUAACGUCGGGGCUGCAUUUGAAACUAGGAGGGUGGAGUGCAGGAGAGGGAAGCGGAAUUCCUAGUGUAGCGGUGAAAUGCAUAGAUAUUAGGAGGAACACCAGUGGCGAAGGCGGCUUUCUGGACUGUAACUGACACUGAGGCACGAAAGCGUGGGGAGCAAACAGGAUUAGAAACCCUGGUAGUCC
rnacentral:rRNA from 1 species